rnacentral:rRNA from 1 species
GAUGAACGCUGGCGGCGUGCCUAAUACAUGCAAGUCGAGCGAACAGACGAUGAGCUUGCUCCUCUGACGUUAGCGGCGGACGGGUGAGUAACACGUGGAUAACCUACCUAUAAGACUGGGAUAACUUCGGGAAACCGGAGCUAAUACCGGAUAAUAUAUUGAACCGCAUGGUUCAAUAGUGAAAGACGGUUUUGCUGUCACUUAUAGAUGGAUCCGCGCCGCAUUAGCUAGUUGGUAAGGUAACGGCUUACCAAGGCAACGAUGCGUAGCCGACCUGAGAGGGUGAUCGGCCACACUGGAACUGAGACACGGUCCUGACUCCUACGGGAGGCAGCAGUAGGGAAUCUUCCGCAAUGGGCGAAAGCCUGACGGAGCAACGCCGCGUGAGUGAUGAAGGUCUUCGGAUCGUAAAACUCUGUUAUUAGGGAAGAACAAAUGUGUAAGUAACUAUGCACGUCUUGACGGUACCUAAUCAGAAAGCCACGGCUAACUACGUG